CCUACGGGAGGCUGCAGUGAGGAAUAUUCGUCAAUGGCCGUAAGGCUGAACCAGCCCAGUCGCGUGAAGGAAGUAGGAUCUAUGGUUUGUAAACUUCUUUUAUAGGGGAAUAAAGGUAUCCACGUGUGGAUAUUUGCAUGUACCCUAUGAAUCAGCAUCGGCUAACUCGGUGCCAGCAGCCGCGGUAAUACGGAGGAUGCGAGCGUUAUCCGGAUUUAUUGGGUUUAAUGGGUGCGUAGGUUGUUGAGUAAGUCAGCGGUGAAAGUUUGUGGCUCAACCAUAAAAUUGCCGUUGAAACUGGUAGACUUGAGUGUAGUUGAGGUAAGCGGAAUGCGUGGUGUAGCGGUGAAAUGCAUAGAGAUCACGCGGAACACCAGUUGCGAAGGCGGAUUACUGGACCGUAACUGACGCUGAGGCUCGAAAGCGUGGGGAGCAAACAGGAUUAGAUACCCGAGUAGUC
rnacentral:rRNA from 1 species